rnacentral:rRNA from 1 species
GCAGGCUGCAACUCGCCUGCAUGAAGUUGGAAUUGCUAGUAAUCGCGAAUCAGAAUGUCGCGGUGAAUACGUUCCCGGGCCUUGUACACACCGCCCGUCACACCAUGAGAGUCGAUAACACCCGAAGCCUGUGAGCUAACCUUUUAGGAGGCAGCAGUCGAAGGUGGGGUUGAUGAUUGGGGUGAAGUCGUAACAAGGUAAC